rnacentral:rRNA from 1 species
GACGGAGGAGGCAAGCAUUGUCCGGAAUUAUUGGGCGUAAAGAACACGUAGGCGGUUUAUCAAGUCAUAUGUGAAAACCUUGGGCUUAACUUAAGGAUUGCAUAUGAUACUGGUAAACUAGAGUAUAGUAGAGGAAAGCGGAAUUCCUGGUGUAGCGGUGAAAUGCGCAGAUAUCAGGAAGAACACCAGUGGCGAAAGCGGCUUUCUGGACUGUUACUGACGCUGAGGUGUGAAAGCUAGGGGAGCGAACAGGAUUAGAUACCCU